rnacentral:lncRNA from 1 species
CCAGUGGCGUAACAAAUGACCUGGGUUUCCUGUAAUGGCAAUAGUUACACGCUCGUACAGGACCCUGCAAUUAAGUGAGCUCUAGUCACGGCUCCCCAUGGGGUUAAGCAUAACUACAGAAUGAAUGUGGAGACUACUACCAGCUCCAUGAGGAUGUUUGGCAGUGGCAUGAACACACAGUUCAGGGAAGUGAAGGAACAACAUUGACACAGAUCACGUUCCAGGGAUGGCACCCUGCAUGGUGUCUGGAGAAUACCAGGUGCCAGAAACAGUGAUGGGAGAAGGUGGAGCUGCAGUUUUCAUCUCUCACUGUUUCCACAAAACCUCAAUCUGCCAAUCAACCUGAGAAGAUGGAAAUUAUGGAAAUUAAUUAUUAUUUAUCUCAUAAUGAGAUAAAAACAAUGGAACAACAUUAUUUUCCAAAACAAACAAAUAAACCCCCUUGAGGUAAACA